UACGGGGGGGGCAAGCGUUGUUCGGAAUUACUGGGCGUAAAGGGCGCGUAGGCGGUCAGAUAAGUCAGCUGUGAAAACCUCGGGCUUAACCCGAGGCCUGCAGUUGAAACUGUUUGGCUGGAGUGUGGGAGAGGAGAGUGGAAUUCCCGGUGUAGCGGUGAAAUGCGCAGAUAUCAGGAGGAACACCUAUUGCGAAGGCAGCUCGCUGGGACGUAACUGACGCUGAGACGCGAAAGCGUGGGGAGCAAACAGG
rnacentral:rRNA from 1 species